rnacentral:sRNA from 1 species
UCUUACCCAGCAAGGCAGACCCGCUGGUGGGCUGUUUACUGCUCCACAUAACUGCGCGCUCAUAUGGUGCCAGCCAUACCCAUCUCUUAUGUCUAACGCCGGUCCCAGUGAUGUUUGCAGAAACUUCUUCGGUGGUUUUGCCUAGCUCCCAUCCGUCUUUAUUACUUUCCGUCAUACCAAAUGACUUUCGUCUACGAACAUACUUCCACAUCCAUUCGCCCACCAUGGUCUGUGCGAUCGCAUCAACGACACUAGUCUGCUGUACGCUUGUGUUGGUAUUGACUGACUCGUUUCUCCGGUGAGACCUGGCAGGGGGCGGGACUUGUCGAUUUGAAUGCAGUUUACCAGAUCGCUUUCGCCGGGGGGCUGUUAUUUCGUCAACAGGCAUGGGUGGGAGGUGUGGGCUUUCGGGGCAGGUUGAUGAUGUCGACAUUGUUGGUGGAGAAUGGCUUUGCUGCCGAUCGGGACGAUGCAUCCCAGCCACCACAGCGGCCGAGCGAACUUUGCGAAGUGGAGGCUCUCUUAAUAGAAAGCCCCGCUCCGGGAAAUUUCCGUUGCUGUACGGCGUCGGACUCUGAGCGCCCUCGCUCGCACUGACGGGGAUUUUGCGCGAGCUCAAUCUCACCGGAACGGGGAAAGGAGGUUUGGCUGCGGUGCUGGUCGAGGCAGCGCUGCUGCCGAUGCUAGGUGCACUGGGGCUGCGAGGCCUGUACGCCUGGUGUGCGGCAGUAGAGCUGGAAAUCAUGGCAGUGCGGCGAAUAUCAGGUUGCUUCGCGACAUUGCCUAAUUUCAAAGGUCUGGGCGGUCGUUUAGCAGAUGGCAAUUUCCCACCGGGCACAACACGGGGCUGAGGGCCGUUGGGAGCUUUUGUUUCAACUAUUGAUUUCGGCGAAUGUGGUUCAUCCACUUCUUCUGGGUGUUCCUCACGCUCCGCGAGAGGGUUGUCGUCCAGUAUUGAGGGCGCCGGCUUUGUAACGAGCUUGCCAGCUCUCAGUGUAUAAGAUGCGAGGGGUCGAUUGAAGAGCUCGUCAUCGCUAAACAGAUCCUCCUGUGGCUCUGGCCAUUCGUCAUCACUAACAUGUUCAAAGCCAGCAAAUAAACUGCUGGUUCUGAACGGCCGUCGAAGUUCCAAUUUCGUAUCCUCAGAAAGGGGACCAUUGUCAUUAUUUCCUGGAUAUGCUUGCAACUUUUCGGGUUCUUUAUCUUUUGAGGAAGGCCGUGUGAGCGGCGCAGGCUCAACUGAGGGAGGGUUUCGAAGUCUCCUUUUUGCAGAUUUCGGGGGCACGUGAAAUUGUUGGAUGGGUGGUGGUGAAGGUAGAUCAAUGGAUUCUGGACUCAUUGGCUGGUCUAUAAUCGCGGAUGGGAGGAGUUUUGCGGGUAGCUUGGCACUACGUUUAUCAACGCGAAUCUCUUCUGUUUGCAUGCCACAUGACCGGACGUCGGCGAGUGGUUCGAUAUAUGUCUGGCAUGAUACACUCUUGGUUUGUGGGGGCAAUACAACGCUGUUCCUGGCGGAUGGGGGGUUUGAGCCGGGGGGUUCGAUCGUGAUCAUGGGGAUUGGCAUUGCCUGUCGGAUUAUUUGUUCUAGGUUUCGGGUUUCUUUGUCCUUGAUAAUUACAUCGUCGGUUUGAGUUGAGAUGGAAACCGUUGCUACCACUGGAAUUUCAGUCACGGGAGCCGGAGAAGCUAUGGGUGUGGACUCCUCUGAUGGAGUUUCUUCAACUGUUGGGGUUGAAGGAGGGCUUGGAGGCUCUCCGGUUGUCUGGCAUGCAGAAGAGGUGGUGAGGACAGGCGCAGUGACGGUGCUGCUGUCACUCGAUUCGUAUACAGGCAUUGAUUCUGUACUGGAAGACAUUUGACUUUUCUCUUGAUUUUCAUUGCUCGCGCCAUUCACCGGAGGAGCCUCAUCGACAAUGACUUGAUCGGGUUCCAGUACAACCUUAGGGGAUGGAGGUGGAGUAUAUUGGAUUCCGAUGUCUCUAUAUUCCAAUUGUGGUACAGCGGUGGUCCUCUUUUCAUUUUGUUCGACAUCCGGAAUCACAUUCAGAUUUUUUGGAUGAUCAAGCACAUCGGGAGUGCCGAACCUUUCAUGCCCGUCAAGUGGCAUAUCGAACGUACGCCGGGCCAUCCUGCUGCUCAUCCGUCGCGAUUGCAUUGAUAUGGGCCUUUCGUGGUCAGGAACCGUGCAUCUCGAAUCAGGUCGGUCAUCUAGACCCAAUGUGUCUUCCUCUUCCUCGUCAAAUGCGAGUUCGUCUGCUAAGUUCAAGCCGUCCACCUUGUGUCCAUGACCAUUGGCAAAACUCAUGACGGAGUACCUUACAUUAUGCAGAUCGCCGUCAUGGGUACUUACGCUUGCAGUACUCGUACGUCGCCGUCCCAUGACACUGCCCGAACGGAUGCUGUAGGUAUCACUACCCUUUGCCGUCAUGCCAUCACGAACAGAAUCAUCAAAGUCUCCAUCAACACCACGAGGAAAUGAACCCGCUGCCUGAGCUGCUGCAACCUCGUUGAGAACAACUUUCAGACGUCCCUCGACGACAUGGACUUUCCGUUCCCAGUUCCUCCGCUCUUCCUCCCAAUUCUGCUUAUCCCGCUCCCACAGCCUUUGGGUCCGUUCAAUUUCUUCUUCCUGAGUACGCGCUCUUUUCUGUGACUGCUCAAGUCUUUUGCGGAAAUCCGCAAUGUUCUCUAAAGCAUCAUCACGCUCCUUGGACAAUUCUGUCAUAGCAGACAUGGAACCACCCUCAAGAAGCUGUAUCUGCUUUUUCAAUGAACGGUUCUCCUUGGAGCUCCUUGAGAGCGUCUCGCUCAAAGACUCCGCUUCCGACUUUGCCGUUUCCAGGGUCAUCUCAAGAGAAUCAAUUGCCUUCGCUUUCGCCUCCAUGUCGCGGCGCAGGGACAAGAUCUCGGAAACGAGAGAGGCAUGUAAGGUUGGGGUGAACCGUCGAGGAUCUAGGGGAGAUAUUGUCUCGUCAUUUGCGGGGUCAAUUGGGCUGACAGGGCCAUCGGAUUCGUACCGGUUGUCGGAGUUGAAGCGCGGAGGGGAGGAGGAGGGUCCUGGAGACGAAUCUCUGCGGUGGAGCGAUGGGCGGCGCGACAUUGGGUUUGAGGGGGUCCGGUAGGGCUUCUUGUCCUUACCCGUGGGUAGGGACGUUCCCAGGUAUGUAUAGUCAUUUUCAAAGUCGGAAGGCAUUGUGGAUAUGUGUGGGUGAGUGGGUAGUGAUGGGUAUGGGUGUAUCCUUCAGUUCCAGUUACUGCUGUCAUACGUGCAUGACUAUAUGAAGAACUCGUUGCGAUAAACAAACGAAAAGACAACCGCCGCCAAUACGAGAUUGGGUGUGAUAGACGCCAGGAGGGGGAAAAAAAUAAACAAACAAUUUGAUGCCCUCGUUGCCCGGGGUUUAGUGAGGGGGGUGGGAUUGAAUGAGUGAGUUAAGGUUGGACAAUUUCGUAAUAUCAAGGAAGUGUUUCAGUUUGUUCUGUCCAAGGCUCAACGGUUGGCGGGGGAUUGAGGAAUCGAGGUAAGUUGGUAGUGGGUAGGUAAAUUCCCCGUCUCACUCAUAUAUUUGUUUUCGUAUUUAUUUAUAGCAUUUACACUUCAACGGUAAGUCAUGUGCAUAAAAUCAAUCUAUUCCGCAACAACGUCCAGAGCUGGUUGGUGGUGGUGAAGGGGGAAUUUAUCCUUUCAGAAAAGAAAUUCCAGGGGCGGAAAAAAGGAGAACGAACGAACGAACAAACUUCCGACAAAAUUCAAGGAGCCCGAUGUGGAGUGUUAUAUCUAUGCAGGUAGGAAAUUUGUCUCUAGAAAUUCUCGUGGAAGGAUUGUCAGGUAUGUCGUGCUGUAUCGUGCUCUGUUGUGUUGUUGUUCGCACAGGAAUAGAAUGCUCGUCUCUCAAGGUCUCUUCACUAGUUACCUGAAGCUAUACAUGACGUUAGCCGCUAGCCUGGUAAGGAAAUUUCACAGUAAAGGACCCACUGCACUGCAUUCAGUAUGUACAUCUUUGUGUCUUGUAUUUUGGAACUUGGAGAACAGAAGGGGGAGAACUGACGAACGGCGAGUAGUCGAUGUAACUAUCGGAUGUCUCUAUGUAAGCAGGAGAAACUGGGUGGUGAAGGAGGAUCGGCCCGGCAAGGUAUGUGCUGAAUUGUAUAUAGGUCAAGGUCCAGCCAUUGAGGUAUGUAUAGACAAUGUCGAGUAUUUGAUCUAUUUAUCAAACAGAUAAACGUCAAUUGAGAAGUAGGAGUAGGAGUAAUAGUAGUGGUAGUAGUGGUGCGUAGCCACGAGGUGUAAAUCAGGCGUGUGGGAAGCUACAUCAGGAUGUGUCGUCGCGAAAGGGGCCGGGUGAGUGAGUAAACCGGAGGACGCAGAAGCAUAAAUGACCUUCCUGUCUUCGUCAGGCCCUUCUAUUUCUCAUUUCCUCUCCAAGAACAAAAAACGAACGUGAGCAGUAGUGGUAGCUGCCGUUGUCGUGGAGGUAGCUGCGGAGUGGUGGUGGCAGAGGAAAAGGGACGAAAUGGAAGCUUUGUCAGGUGGAGGACGGUAGCUUCGUGGAGUACGGCUCGAUAGAUAGAUUGGGUGUUUGAGAUGUAGAUGGCGAAGGGGAAAAGAGAGAAGAAAGAGCGAGAAAAGAAGCAGCAGUUAGUGAAUCUCGCUGUCACCGUCAAAAAGAGAUAGAAGAGAUAGACGAGUGUGGUAUGUGGUAUUGUGUAUUCAGCUCAUCCGGGAGCGAGAGUUGCUCCCACGCCGCAAAGAACUCAGCGACGGACGGCGACGGUGACAUC